GAUCAUGGCUCAGGAUGAACGCUAGCUACAGGCUUAACACAUGCAAGUCGAGGGGCAUCAGUUUGGUUUGCUUGCAAACCAAAGCUGGCGACCGGCGCACGGGUGAGUAACACGUAUCCAACCUGCCUCAUACUCGGGGAUAGCCUUUCGAAAGAAAGAUUAAUAUCCGAUAGCAUAUUAUUUCCCGCAGUUGGGUUUUAUAUUAAAGAAAUUCGGUAUGAGAGUGGGGAUGCGUUCCAUUAGUUUG
rnacentral:rRNA from 1 species